ensembl:lncRNA
GGAAGUUGUCGGGUCAUAGAGUGUUUAUGAAUUGGAGAAGGAAAUGGCAACCCACUCCAGUGUUCUUGCUUGGAGAAUCCCAGGGAUGGGGGAGCCUGUUGGGCUGCCGUCUCUGGGGUCACACAGAGUUGGACACGACUGAAGCGACUUAGCAGCAGCAGCAGCAGAGUGUUUAUGAACAUGAGGAUCCUGUUGGCCCUGGAAGUAAUGUGUGGAAGAUGGCAGGCCUUUGCUGUUCUGCUGACUUUUAAAAAACUUCUUGUUUUUAAUAUUUAUUUAUUUGGCUGCAUUGGGUCUUAGUUGCAGUUCAGUUCCAGUUAUCUAUUGUUAAAUAAUGUGUGUGUGUACUCAAUCGCUCAGUAGUGUCC